GCCUACGGCCAUACCACCCUGAAAGCGCCCGAUCUCGUCUUAUCUCGGAAGCUAAGCAGGGACAGGCUUGGUUAGUACCUGGAUGGGAGACCGCCUGGGAAUACCAGGUGUUGUAGGCU
ensembl:rRNA 5S_rRNA 5S ribosomal RNA